GAAAGCGAAGGCAGGAGCGUGAGGUGAACUGAAUUUCAGGUGUAGUUUUACUGGAAACCUGCUGAUCCAGUUCCAGAGAGGCAAACAAACCACCUGAGAUCAGCUUCAGGCGUCUCCAGGAGAAAAACACAGAGAACAGCUGCAACACUGAAUAACUAAACAUAUUUGUUUGGUAUUUCUUUAUGCAGAGGCUGAUACUAAAGCUGAUCAAUAACCUACUUUGACUAUAGUAUGCUACAAAGAAACUGAGCUGAAAGUGUAACCUGCACAGCCCCUAACGAGCCUGUGACUGUAAACAGAGCUCAGAAUGGGCACAUGUCAUUUGCAGUUCAGCAUCAGUCAUAUCAGCGCUAUGACAGCAGCUCGUCAUAGACUGAAACAUGAGAGCAGAGCAGACUCAGCACCAAAGAUCUGUUUGUAGACCCUGUGCUGUGGCCUGAUUUGAAUGUCAUUCUUCUGUUUGAUGGCUCUGUGAGGUCAGAUGAGUUGAACUGAAGCUGUUUGGGAGUCUGGGCUUUGCACUGCUUACUGUCAAUUAUUAUGAAAUAAAGCUCCAAGAGAGGGAAAAAAAAAAAGUUAUGCAGUAAGUUUUGUUUUACAAGAAUCGAGAGAGAGAGAGAGAGAGUAGGCCACGCCCACCAGUAGUUUGGUUUAUCAGUGGAAAGUUUCCAACAUUUAUUCUGUGAUUUUACUGGUUUUAGACAUUUGAAUGAUAUAAGGAACAUUGUGCAUGACUCAGAUGGAUGAAUAGAUGCAGAAAAAACAAAUGAGCUCAUUCCAAAUGAAGCAGCUGUCUGGAGGUCAGACUUAAACCCCGAGGCUGCUCUUAUGAACAGGAAACGUAUUUAUUCAUGGACUUCUUAGAUUUAUUUGAACCACAUUUAUAAACCCAGAGUUUUCACUGACAGGAGGAGUGUCUGAAUGUGUGUAUUGUUAGGUAAUAUCAGGAAGUAUUCAUCAGCACUGACACACACAGAGUAAACACGUCUUCUCAUGACUGGACUGCAUUUGAGCUGUUGAUCAGAAACUCCUGAGAGUCCGUUGUGUGUGUAGAAAAGCAGUUUGAAACAGGUUCCUGGAUGAAUCUGCAGCAGCAGCUGAAGCAGCCCAGCUGUUACCACGGGAGCGUUUAGCUGCAAUUCAAAGAAGUGAGAAACUCUCGGCCUUCACAUGUUACUGUCAGUCUGGAUUAUUACAAUAGAAUUUGUGUGACUGUUCCACCAUAAACUGAUGAAGACAAGUUGUUGUUAUGGCUGUGUGGUUGUGUGCAACGAUUAGCUGCAUUAAAGACGUUUAACCAAC
ensembl:lncRNA